rnacentral:lncRNA from 1 species
GGUCCUUCUGCUCCGGAAGUCCCGCCCCUGCCCUGUGCCCCGGAAGCAGAUCCCACUUGCGAGCGUAGCACGUUUUUUCCAACCUUUGGUCCUUCUUCGGGGUGAGACAAGUCGUGGUGCCCCUGAGGCUCCCCUGCCUGGGACCUGGGUCAGAGUGGGGGCAUCCGGACUCGAACUGGCGCACUAAGACCGAGUGACCUCGUGUUACCGUCGCUGACACUUGUAGCUGGAGGAGUGGGACCCAGAAGAGUUAAAAGGACUCCAGCGUCCAGGUUUGCUGAGGGCCCGAUGGUGACCUCUUCGCUUUUUUUCUUUUUUUUGUACCGGGGAUCGAACUCACGACCUUGCACUUGCUUGGCAGGCGGCGAAGCCACUGAGCUAAAUCCCCGGCCCUCCUCUUUGCUCUUUGAUGUCUUGAGUCUUGGGUCUCCACCGAGGCCGCCCUAGGGCUGGACGACUGUCCUCCCGUCCCUUCCAGCACGCAGCUCUCUGUGCUAGAAGAGUGUAAAGUGACCAGAACAACCUCCUCAUCCUUUUUCCAAGUAGCGAUGGGAUCAUGAGAGGAGGCGAGGUGUGUGUGCAAGGUCUAAGUCCUGCCUCAGCCUCCCAGAGUGGGGCUCACAGCUAAGAGUUUGUCUUGAGUCUCAGAGGAGACUUUGGACUUGGAAUUUUCAGCAAUAUUGGAAAUCUUAAGAUUUUGACAACACUUAGAGGGCCCCAAAAUGCAAGAGUAAUGAUGCUGGCAAUGUGGAUCUGCCAAAGAGAACCUGUUGGGCUUAAACUAUUGAGUGCUUCCUUUAAGAAUUAUCUCACAUCAUCAUAAGAAGAAGGGGCAGGGUGAAGUUCUGUUUUCAGAAGCUACAUGAACUGGAAAGUGGGAAAGGAGCUGGUGGAAACUCAGGACAGAGUGCAGCAGAACUGACAGGAAGCCUCUCUCCUACUGGGACCAUCCUCUGAGGGUGAAACACUCUACAAGGAAGCAGGAUGCUUGCUGCUGACUUUUAUUCUGUGCCAGACAACAAAUUCAAGAUGGUACAUAAAAGGUGAAUUCCGGCGGGGGCGAACUGGUGCUAGGGAUCAAACCCAAAGCCUCACACACAUUAGACAAGUACUCUACCACUGAGCUGCAUCCCUAGCUCCAAAGUGUGAAUUUAAAGUACAAAACCACACAGAAUGUUUUGCAGAAUUAAAAACUACUUUUGGAAAAUACGAAGCGAUUCCCUGCACUUGAAUUAACUAUUUGAACAAUAGAAAUGAG